GUGAACUUUUUUUUCUCUCCCUCCCUUCACUACAGCGGUGUACGGAAAUGUGAUUGACAGACUUGUAGUGCACCACUGGCAAACCAGUGGUGGCAUAGUGAUGGGUCGUGUCAGCAACAUAUCUGUGAAUUUGCAGUGAAGUGUUUCCUCCCAGCAGAAGUAAGAUUCACCAGACUGAAUACACUUUUUCACAUAUACAACUACUAAUAGAAGAUGUGCCCCAUUUGUUUUUCGUUUAGGCUCACUGACCUUUUAUGGACAUAAAACAGUUAAUCCUUAACAUCUACUAUCAAAUUAAGUAAAUCAAAAACAAAAGUACAUUGUUAUUGUAAUGGAUUUUGAAUAUGGCUUUGUAAAAUGUCAGACAAUGUUGCUUGUGCCAAUCCUGAGCAAUGCUUCUUUUAAUUUGCAUCAUAAUGUUGUGACAUAAGAUGCAGCAGAUAGUUUAGCUUCAUGGCUGUGCUUGAGUUUCACUGUUUAAAAAAUAAAAUGUGUACUUGGCUUA